rnacentral:tRNA from 1 species
AGCAGCGUAGCUCAGUGGAAAGAGCACGGGCUUAACGAGUCAGAGGUCAAGGGUUCGAAUCCCCGCUCUGCCA